rnacentral:rRNA from 1 species
GAUGAACGCUGGCGGCGUGCUUAACACAUGCAAGUCGAACGGAAAGGCUCCUGCUUUCAGGGGUACUCGAGUGGCGAACGGGUGAGUAACACGUGGGUGAUCUGCCCUUCACUUCGGGAUAAGCCUGGGAAACUGGGUCUAAUACCGGAUAGGACCACAUUUUGGAUGGUGUGGUGGAAAGUUUUUCGGUGUGGGAUGAGCUCGCGGCCUAUCAUCUUGUUGGUGGGGUAAUGGCCUACCAAGGCGUCGACGGGUAGCCGGCCUGAGAGGGUGUACGGCCACAUUGGGGGAGAGAGACGGCCCAGAGUCCUACGGGGGGGAGAAGUGGGGAAUAUUGCACAAUGGGGGCAAGCCUGAUGCGGCGACGCCGCGUGGGGGAUGACGGCCUUCGGGUUGUAAAAUCCUGUCGCUAGGGACGAAGAGUUUUUGUGACGGUAACUGGAGAAGAAGCACCGGCUAACUACGUG